CCGCUAGAAGAUGAUGAACUGGUGGAGUACAUCAUCACCGGACUAGGAGAAGAUUUUCAGUCCCUAGUCACAUCGGUAUGUACUAGAACAUAUCCCAUCAGUGUUUCAGAUCUGUAUUCACAGAUGCUUAGCUUUGAGU